CCUACCUUUGAGUCAUCUGAACUUACUCCAAAAUCCAUUGGUUUAUGUGUUGAGGUUAGUAGGGUAUCAAAUAUUCUAUACUCUGUGCGUGGGCUUUUAUGCACAAGAUGCAUUACCUUGUAUUUAUCCACAUUAAAUGUCAGUUGCCACAGCUCUGACCAGUUUUCUUGUUUACCUGAAUCAUCUUUCAUUUGGCUUAUCCUUUCUGGAACAUCAACCCUGUUGCAAAUGUUAG